rnacentral:misc_RNA from 1 species
GUUUCAAUUUUUAAAAGGCACAAAGGCCAAUUAUAAACAUUCUGAUACAUAUUCAUAGUGUAGGUAAAAGAGACAUAAACCUGAGAUACAAGAAAAGCUGUACAGCAAUUCUCAAACCAAGAGUCAUUUGACUAACUUGAGAGUGUUUCAGGUUUACACAAAGUGCACAGGUGGUUAAAAAUGGAAUAGGCGUGCACAUGCUUCUAAAAGCCAGCAACAACCCAAACCAAGUUUGUUUCAAUAAUGAUCCUUCCGCAGGUUCACCUACGGAAA